UCGCAGAGCAGGCGGUGGAAAAACGGCCAACAAAUGCCGUAAUAUGUGCCGGCGGCCAUGGCAAAAGAAUUGGCCAAAAACUGGUGCUCGGGAAAUGGAUUUGAUUUAUGUAGCUGCCGGAUCAAGAGGCGCCGGGUGUGGGCGUGGCCCGGACCUGGUCCUGGGGACAGACGCCAGGUGAAUGCUUUUUUGAUAGACUCGAAAUGGAUACACGUUACAAGAUGAUAAAGCAGCAGCUCCAGGUACGGAUGGAGCCCCUCCCACCUGCCCCCCCCCAUCCGAAUCUAGCCAUCCGAGUGCGCCCACAAAUUAUUUAGGAAAUCUGCCACUCAUACAGAGCAUUCCAUAUUCAUUUGGCUGCUGCUUCCACCAGCCACACCGCCAACAAAAAAAAAAAUGUGCCUCUGUCCGUGGAGAUAUCUGGUUGGACGUUCUCAAAUUUGAAACAUUUUUUGUAUGCUUGACGAACCAAUAAUAAUUUGUAUCGCA